UACGUAGGUGGCAAGCGUUGUCCGGAUUUACUGGGCGUAAAGGGCGUGCAGGCGGUUUGUCUAGUCUAGGGUGAAAGCUCCCGGCUUAACUGGGAGAGGUCCUUGGAUACUGGCAAACUUGAGGGAGGCAGAGGAAAGUGGAAUUCCCGGUGUAGUGGUGAUAUGCGUAGAUAUCGGGAGGAACACCAGUGGCGAAGGCGGUUCUCUGGGACGGUACUGACGCUGAGACGCGAAAGCGUGGGGAGCGAACAGG
rnacentral:rRNA from 1 species